UCAAUGAGAGAGACGAAGAAGAAGAGAAGAAGGGGAAGAAGACGAAGAAGAAGAGGGAGUAGGGGGGGUGUUGUCGCGGGAAAGAUGGCACUUGCAGUUGCAGAAAAGCAAAGCAACCGCCAUCUUUACGCGGCAACACUCCCUGCCAUACUCCUCACUUUAAGCUUAAUACUUGCGGCAUUCACAAUCACAAGCUCCUUCAUGUUUCAUGCAGGUUGAUGCCGAUUAUACUCCUCUGUCAUCGCCUAUAAAUGAAACGUAAGAGUAAUUCACAAGCAGAGUUAGAAGGCGAAGACAGUAACUACGUACUCAAUAUUAUAAUUAUUAUUAUGUAUUGCAUUCCACUAUUGCUACCAUAGAAAAGACACAGUAAAGUUGCUAAAGGUGAAGAAGUUAAAUUGAUUGAUGUUGAGGAGAAAGAAGAUAAAAAAGGAGCAAGAAUAAGAACAAGAGGAUACACUCAUACUCAAUGAAAAUAGUGAGGGAGAAGAUGAUACCAAUGAUAACCUGAGGAUGAUUAGUUAGAACUUAGAAGAUCAUGAUGUUGAUAAUAGAUACGAUUUUAUAUAUUUAUUUAGUACUUUAAGAUGUACUUUUAACACAUUAGAUAUUUUAUACAAGUCUUGUGCUUAGAUUUUUUAUGUUGUAUGUUUUUUCUUAUGAUUUGAUUUGGUUCCCGAUUCUCAAUUAGCAAAAUGAAUACUGAUAUUCACAACUCUAAUCUCAACUGAACAACUAUAAUCGACACACAGCCAGGAGGG